UGGGGAAUAUUGCACAAUGGGCGCAAGCCUGAUGCAGCCAUGCCGCGUGUGUGAAGAAGGCCUUCGGGUUGUAAAGCACUUUCAGCGGGGAGGAAGGCGAUAAGGUUAAUAACCUCACCGAUUGACGUUACCCGCAGAAGAAGCACCGGCUAACUCCGUGCCAGCAGCCGCGGUAAUACGGGGGGUGCAAGCGUUAAUCGGAAUUACUGGGCGUAAAGCGAACGCAGGCGGUUUGUUAAGUCAGAUGUGAAAUCCUCGGGCUCAACCUGGGAACUGCAUCUGAUACUGGCAAGCUUGAGUCUCGUAGAGGGGGGUAGAAUUCCAGGUGUAGCGGUGAAAUGCGUAGAGAUCUGGAGGAAUACCGGUGGCGAAGGCGGCCCCCUGGACGAAGACUGACGCUCAGGUGCGAAAGCGUGGGGAGCAAACAGG
rnacentral:rRNA from 1 species